CAGUACCGCGGUAAUACGAAGGGUGCAAGCGUUACUCGGAAUUACUGGGCGUAAAGCGUGCGUAGGUGGUUGUUUAAGUCUGCUGUGAAAGCCCUGGGCUCAACCUGGGAAUUGCAGUGGAUACUGGGCGACUAGAGUAAGGUAGAGGAUAGUGGAAUUUCCGGUGUAGCAGUGAAAUGCGUAGAGAUCGGAGGGAACAUCUGUGGCGAAGGCGACUAUCUGGGCCAUUACUGACACUGAGGCACGAAAGCGUGGGGAGCAAACAGGAUUAGAUACCCCCGUAGUCCCUGUCUCUUAUACA
rnacentral:rRNA from 1 species